UUAGGAGUGCCAGAUGAUAUGGGGCUGAUUUAGGAUUAGUUUAUGGCUGUUGGGUCCUCUUGCA
rnacentral:tRNA from 1 species